UUCCUCCCAGGCGCUCUAGGGUUGUGGCCGCUGGCAUCUCCACGAUCCGUCCUCCAACGCCGAACCCUCGCCGCCCCAUCUGAACAAAAGAUUCACCGCCCUCGCCAUCGCCGCCCCGAUCUCCUAUCCCAUAUCUCCGUCUCGAACCGGGCCGGGGACGGCGAAGCUCCAGGGCACCGUGCGCCCCCACCCGCUUCUCCCCUACAGCGGCGCCCACACAGAGAAUCAGCGCUCCGGUGGUGGACUCGCCCCACCGUUGCCGUCUUUGAAGGGGAUAGGUGCCUUCUGCCCAUGGCUAGCACGGCGACGACGAUGCAGACGGGCGAUAGCAGCAUCAUGUGAAGUGGGAGUGGGUGCCAGAGGAGGUAGUGGCCUCGAUAUCUUGGCAUCAUCGCCACAAGAUCCGACCAUGGUCCGUGCACCCUGGGCAGUAGCAUUGUCAAGUAAACAGAUGAGCUGCUGCAGGUACAAGUAUAACAUUCUCUGUACACCUGGACCUUUUAAGUUGUGCCCCAAGAACGACCAUUUCUCCUUAUCACCAUUGGUUCAUCCAUGGCCUCUAUGAAAUUAUUUUGUGUUGUUUCCUAAUUUCAUAAUGAUUGAGACCACCUUCCCUUCGGGCAUUCAUGUCUCAAAAUUAUCAAGCAAUACUAUCUGAGUGUGGGUUGUUUCUUUUCUUCUCAUUUCUAUAUAUUGGCAAGCAAAAGAAUGUUCAAUGAAAUCAUCAAGGAUGCCCUCUCUUGAUUCGUCCGUGUCUGCCGGAUAAACAACAGCGACUGAAUAUCCUAUCUAUCCCUUCUUGCUUUAUAUUUUGUACUGUUUCUACAUGUUACACUUACAUGGUAUGUUUGGUAAUUCUUUUCCCCGGUUCGAAGUUUCAAUUUGCACAUCAUGAUGGCAGAUUGACAUACAGUAGAGUGUAUUGAUGGUAUAGGUUCUUUGUUACUAUCCUUAUAGCUUCACAAUUUCAUGCAUUAUUCUGUGGUGGCAUGGUUAUGCAAUUAUUUGGUUUAGAGCUAUAAAGUCACCAGCUUAUCUUUAAUUUAGGUAUUAGACCUCUAGGAGAUUAUAUGCUGAUAUUUCCAUCCGUUCUGCGUUGUUCACACAAAAAUGAUUAUGUUGUUGUUAUGUAAGUAUAUAGGUAUGCAAUCACAAGCUUAUCGUUAGCCCAGGUAAUAGCUUUUGUAGACUGUAUCCUAUAAAAAGAUUAUCCCCUCACCCUAAAGGUUCUCCCUUUGGUUGGUUCCCAUAUUGGUAUUUUGCUCUCCCAGGAUAAUCGAUUUUAUUGACAUCUAUGCCAUUUUAUUUUUUGUAGGAUCAGGAAACGACCACAAGACAUAUCGGUUAGAAGUUUAGGACUUUCGGGAGUUGCCAAAAGAUCAAAGUGUGCGCUCUUCCUUUUUUUUGCAUCUAAUCUUUUCCAAGUUUUGCCCCUUAUAAAAUAUAUGAAUGCUUGCUUGGAUGUUGCUGUGAACUUAUGAUUGCCUCUACAACAUCCUUUAUGAUCAGAUUGUCAAUUCAGAACUUCAAACUCAAACUUGGAUCAAUUAUUUCUUUGAAGCAACAAUCAGAAAAGGAAUCCAAAAUGAUGUGAUAGUGAUAUACCCACUGAACUGCAUCUGCAUUAUAGCCUACCUUACAUAUUGUGUAGUUCAGAGUCCUGGAAUUAAUCAUUUUUUGUUUCAAGUGGUAGAGCAGUGAAUUAUUUGUCUUCCCUUUUCCUUAAUGUAGAGUCUUACUAUUUUCUCUAUGGGAGGAGACCUAUUUAUCUUUAUUUUAGCCUUUCACCAUAAUUAUUUAUCUAGAACUAAAAUGCAUCUAGAUACAUCCAUAUCAAUGUCAAGUAAUAUGAAUCGGAGGGAGUAAGAUUUUUUUUCUUGGAGUCUAUAUGCAUUUGUUCUCCUAAAUAAAUCAUGUUUUUAGUAUAUAUAUAUCCUUUUACUACGAAGAAUUGUAUUGCUUGGGGUAAGUGAAGUUGUUUUCCAUGUACACAUGAAUCUGAUGAGGGAUCUUCCUUUUCAAUGGAAGAAAAGAACAUAUAUGCUAAAGGGUUAUAUACUCAAAAUGUAUGUUAACUGGUCCUUAAUGAGUCAUAGUUGAUUUAAGUACCAGAUCUGUUUAUAUAUUGUUCCCUUAAAUUUUCAUGUUAGGUCUAGAGUUGAACUUCUCUAUAUGUGGUUCUAUCUCAAAUAUAUGCACAACACUUGCUGUCUUCCACACAUAGCAUUCGUUUUCGUUUUGUCUCAUAGAAAUUUUAUCUUAAUAUUGCUUAUUGUUGUAAGACUAUAGUUCUUGUGUAAAACUUGCUUGAGCAGUUAAGCUUCAAGCAGCUUGCAAAGGUUUUCUCCUCUCUGUUGUAUAUUUGAAGGCUUCGGUUCUGAUGGGCAGUAGUAACUUGACCUUCAAGAUACUACUAUGGUAUUCUUCCAAGCACAUUUUAUACUAUUUUACCAUUACUUUGAUAAUUGACGCAUGUAGGAGCUGGACAAGCAGGUUCCUCUGAUAGGUGAAGUUACUUUGAUCCUAUUCUACUUUUAUAUAAUGUGUGUUUGCUUCUAGAUGGUAAUAUAACUAAAGCUCAGUGAAAUGCAUGCAAAUUUGUGCAAGUUGACAAAGCUAACUUAGAGCCAAGAACGACUGAUGUCAAGCAAAUAUACAGUUAACCAGGUCAGGAGUUAGUUAUGUUAGACUACAAAAUCGUAAUGAUGAAUAAUUUACCCUUUAGUUCUGCUAAAAAAUAUGGGUGUUCUGCAGGAGUUAACUGGUGUGUGAUGUCAUCAACACAUUUAAUUUAUUUCGGAAAUCAAGCAAUUAGAUAUGGACGUAAUAAACAUUAGUUUUCUGCCUGCCGCAUCCAUUCAUUUGUUUUCUCUACUUCUCCCUCCUGCUGAUUCUAGCUUCAUCCAUGCCUCCGGGUCAUCAUUUUAAAUACUUUCUACCAGAUGAUUCAUGGCUGUUUUUUUUCCUCCUAAGGGAACCAUCUUUUUAAAACAUUAGAAAGGAGAGUGACCUGUCAUUUUAGCGUUUAACCUACCCAUUAUGCAAAGCUUAUGAAAUACAUAUGAAUGUUGUCAUGUGGCUGUGUCAACAAUUAAACCAGGUUCUCCGCUGUGCCUCGAGGUAACCAUGAACGUACAGGGAUCCUACAUGUCCAAGGCCACAACUUCAGGUUUCUAGAUGAGUGUUUAAGUUUUCAAUAGCUACAAUGUCACUGCAUGAAUAUAUUUGCAUAUUCAACCGCAAGGAAGAGAUACCUGAAGAAGUGCUCAACCUGCUCCUUGGAUACGAGACCCCCACUGGAUAACAGAAAGCAUAUCUGCUUCUUGAAUCUUGAUUGAUUUUCGCCAUGUUGCUAAGUACUAGCAAGGUGUGUGUCUUGUGUGUUACACUAUAGAUAUAAUGGUAUGAUACUUGGUGUUGUGGUACAAGCUAGAAGACUUGGAGCUAACGCCUGUCUAAGUACAAAAAGCUUUGGUAUAUAUCUACUGAUGUUCAAUGACAACUGAUUUUAAGAGAAAUUGUGAUUGACUGAUGUUCA